CGUACACUCCUACGGGAGGCAGCAGUGGGGAAUAUUGCACAAUGGGCGCAAGCCUGAUGCAGCCAUGCCGCGUGUAUGAAGAAGGCCUUCGGGUUGUAAAGUACUUUCAGCGGGGAGGAAGGCAAUACGGUUAAUAACCGUGUUGAUUGACGUUACCCGCAGAAGAAGCACCGGCUAACUCCGUGCCAGCAGCCGCGGUAAUACGGAGGGUGCAAGCGUUAAUCGGAAUUACUGGGCGUAAAGCGCACGCAGGCGGUCUGUCAAGUCGGAUGUGGAAUCCCCGGGCUCAACCUGGGAACUGCAUUCGAAACUGGCAGGCUUGAGUCUUGUAGAGGGGGGUAGAAUUCCAGGUGUAGCGGUGAAAUGCGUAGAGAUCUGGAGGAAUACCGGUGGCGAAGGCGGCCCCCUGGACAAAGACUGACGCUCAGGUGCGAAAGCGUGGGGAGCAAACAGGAUUAGAAACCCUUGUAGUCCCA
rnacentral:rRNA from 1 species